GUCUUCGUAGUAUAUGUUAAUACACUGGCCUUGUAAACCAGCAAAGGAACUAACCCUCCCCAAGACU
rnacentral:tRNA from 1 species